CCUACGGGGGGCAGCAGUGGGGAAUAUUGGACAAUGGGGGCAACCCUGAUCCAGCCAUGCCGCGUGUGUGAAGAAGGCCCUCGGGUUGUAAAGCACUUUCAGUGAGGAAGAACGCCUGGUGGUUAAUACCCAUCAGGAAAGACAUCACUCACAGAAGAAGCACCGGCUAACUCCGUGCCAGCAGCCGCGGUAAUACGGAGGGUGCGAGCGUUAAUCGGAAUUACUGGGCGUAAAGCGCGCGUAGGUGGCUUGAUAAGCCGGUUGUGAAAGCCCCGGGCUCAACCUGGGAACGGCAUCCGGAACUGUCAAGCUAGAGUGUAGGAGAGGAAGGUAGAAUUCCCGGUGUAGCGGUGAAAUGCGUAGAGAUCGGGAGGAAUACCAGUGGCGAAGGCGGCCUUCUGGACUGACACUGACACUGAGGUGCGAAAGCGUGGGUAGCAAACAGGAUUAGAUACCCCAGUAGUC
rnacentral:rRNA from 1 species